rnacentral:rRNA from 1 species
CGAAAGAUUGAUCCAGUCACUUAUUAGGAUGAAAAUUAUAAUAUAGUAAUAUAUAUUAUAUAUUAAUAGUAAUUAAUAAAGUCCUUAGAUUAAUUUAAAUAAUGAUUGAAUUAUAUAAAUUAUAGUAUAUAUAUAAUUAUUUUUAUUAUAUAGAAUGUAUUUUUUAUAUAUUUUAUAGUUAUAUUUUUAUAUAUAUUGAGAAGUCCUAACAAACAUUUGUGCCAGCAGCUGCGGUAAUACAAAGAGGGCUAGCGUUAAUCAUAAUGGUUUAAAGGAUUCGUAGAAUGAUCAUAUUAAAUAUAUGAUUAGAAUUAUUUUAUAUUAAUUAAAGAAUUAUAAUAUUAGUGAUGAAAUGCAGUAACGAUUAUAAGACUGUCAAGUGUGAAGAUUUUAAUUAAUAGAUAAUUGACAUUGAGGAAUGAAGGCUAGAGUAGCGAUUUGGAUUCGAUACCCAAGUAGUUCUAGCAGUAAACUAUGAAUACUAAUUGUUAUAUUUAUAUAUUAUAUAAUGAUUAAAUGAAAAUGUUAAGUAUUCCACCUGAAGAGUACGUUCGCAAGUAUGAAAUUCAAGACAAUAGACGGUUACAGACUAAAGCAGUGGAGCAU